AGUGGAUGGGGAGCAACCUAGUUGUGCGUGUGUAAAGGUAGUGCCAAGAAAAGCGAUGAUCAUGUUGAAAAUCAAUUCCCGGUACCCGAAACCGACACAGGUGGGCAAGUAGAGAAUACUAAGGGGCGCGAGGUAACUCUCUCCAAGGAACUCGGCAAAAUGACCCCGUAACUUAGGGAGAAGGGGUGCCACCGAGAGGUGGUCGCAGUGAAGAGGCCCAGGCGACUGUUUAGCAAAAACAUAGGUCUCUGCAAACUCGAAAGAGGAGGUAUAGGGGCUGACGCCUGCCCAGUGCCGGAAGGUUAAAGAAGUUGGUCAGUUUUAGGAUGAAGCUAGCGACUGAAGCCCCGGUGAACGGCGGCCGUAACUAUAACGGUCCUAAGGUAGCGAAAUUCCUUGUCGGGUAAGUUCCGACCCGCACGAAAGGCGUAACGAUCUGGGCGCUGUCUCGGAGAGAGGCUCGGCGAAAUAGGAUUGUCUGUGAAGAUACGGACUACCUGCAUUUGGACAGAAAGACCCUAUGAAGCUUUACUAUAGCUUGGAAUUGUGUUCGGGCUUCCUGUGCGCAGGAUAGGUGGGAGGCGUAGAAGGUAUUCUUGUGGGGAUACUGGAGCCAACGGUGAGAUACCACUCUCAGGAGGCUAGAAUUCUAACUUAAUUAAGGACAGUUUCAGGUGGGUAGUUUGACUGGGGCGGUCGCCUCCAAAAAGGUAACGGAGGCGUACAAAGGUUCCCUCAGACUGGUUGGAAAUCAGUCGAAGAGUGCAAAGGCAGAAGGGAGCUUGACUGCGAGAAGUACAGUUCGAGCAGGGUGGAAACACGGUCUUAGUGAUCCGACGGUGCUGUGUGGAAGGGCCGUCGCUCAACGGAUAAAAGUUACUCUAGGAUAACAGGCUGAUCUCCCCCAAGAGUUCACAUCGACGGGGAGGUUUGGCACCUCGAUGUCGGCUCAUCGCAACCUGGGGCGGAAGUACGUCCCAAGGGUUGGGCUGUUCGCCCAUUAAAGCGGUACGUGAGCUGGGUUCAGAACGUCGUGAGACAGUUCGGUCCAUAUCCGAUGUAGGCGUGAGAAUAUUGAGAGGAGCCUUCCUUAGUACGAGAGGACCGGGAAGGACGCACCGCUGGUGUACCUGUUAUGAUGCCAAUUGUAAACGCAGGGUAGCCAAGUGCGGAGAGGAUAACCGCUGAAAGCAUCUAAGUGGGAAGCCCACCUCAAGAUGAGUAUUCUGGUGUAAGGUCACGGGAAGACGACCCGUAAAUAGGCACGAGGUGGAAGUGCAGAGAUGUAUGAAGCCGAAGUGUACUAAUAGACCGUCGGCUUGAC
rnacentral:rRNA from 1 species